rnacentral:rRNA from 1 species
CCGGGGAGGGUCUUGGCAACUUGGAACUUGAGUGCAGAAGAGGAGAGUGGAAUUCCACGUGUAGCGGUGAAAUACGUAGAGAUGUGGAGGAACACCAGUGGCGAAGGCGUCUCUCUGGUCUGUAGCUGACGCUGAGGAGCGAAAGCGUGGGGAGCGAACAGGAUUAGAUACCCUGGUAGUCCACGCCGUAAACGAUGAGUGCUAAGUGUUAGGGGGUUUCCGCCCCUUAGUGCUGCAGCUAACGCAUUAAGCACUCCGCCUGGGGAGUACGGUCGCAAGACUGAAACUCAAAGGAAUUGACGGGGGCCCGCACAAGCGGUGGAGCAUGUGGUUUAAUUCGAAGCAACGCGAAGAACCUUACCAGGUCUUGACAUCCUCUGACAAUCCUAGAGAUAGGACGUCCCCUUCGGGGGCAGAGUGACAGGUGGUGCAUGGUUGUCGUCAGCUCGUGUCGUGAGAUGUUGGGUUAAGUCCCGCAACGAGCGCAACCCUUGAUCUUAGUUGCCAGCAUUCAGUUGGGCACUCUAAGGUGACUGCCGGUGACAAACCGGAGGAAGGUGGGGAUGACGUCAAAUCAUCAUGCCCCUUAUGACCUGGGGUACACACGUGCUACAAUGGACAGAACAAAGGGCAGCGAAACCGCGAGGUUAAGCCAAUCCCACAAAUCUGUUCUCAGUUCGGAUCGCAGUCUGCAACUCGACUGCGUGAAGCUGAAUCGCUAGUAAUCGCGGAUCAGGCAUGCCCCG